UGCCCCGUGGCCCAGCUGGUUAAGGCGUGUGACUGUUAAGUAUGUUGAAGUGCAUCACAAGAUCGUGAGUUCGAGUCUCACCGGGGCAG